rnacentral:tRNA from 1 species
GGGGAUUUAGCUCAGUGGUAGAGCACUUGCCUAGCAAGCACAAGGCAAUGGGUUCAGUCCCCA